UUGUGACGGUUAACUAUUAAGAGAUAAGAAAAGUGUACGUAAGAAUCAGGGUAAGCCAACACUGCAGAGUGUCCGGCCUUGGUUGUCACAUCGCUGUUGCAAUAAAGACUGAAUCUUAAGAUCUACGCAACUCCUGAUUGGCUGGGAAGGAAAAACCACAAUAGACUCAGCAUGUGAACACACCGGGUUUCGGCGUAAACGAAACCGAAAGUGCGGAGCUUUACUAGACGUGGAGCGGAAGAUCGAUCGGACCAGUCGAAGGUUUUACAAAGCCUGGAAUGGAACCUAGAACCAAGUCAUAUAGAGAUGCUCUUCAGCAUCGAACUCGGCAAGAACUGAAUAAGGUUACAACAUCAUCUGAAUCUGGGGCUCGCUUACCAGAGCCGGCUCCUGUAGAGAAUGAUCAGAAAGCCAAGCUGAAGGAAUCUCUUCGGAACCUUCUGGAACAACAUCCAAAAGGUGUCCUAUUGUCACAGGUUCGGAAGUCCUGCCCUAUGAUUUAUGACCCAGUUCUUUUGAAUAGCUUUGUGUCUACUAAACAUCUGCUAGCUUCCCUGACGGAUGUGCUGGUACUGAGGGGCAUUGGUGUCCAGACCCGUGUCUAUCCAGCUAGUCAAUAGAACCUCACUGCAAUAUAGUUAACAGAGUUAUACAGAGAAUAAAAUGGCUGGAUCCCUUUAUUUUCUGGAACAGGCACACCUUUCAUUAACUAAACAUAAGUGGUGUGUAUAUUGUGUACUGAUGUCAUACAAAAUCAUAAGCAAAAUGGUCAUAAUUUAUAAAAAAAAACAUAAAGCUCUGGUAGAAAUUAUUUAGGAUUUUUUUUUGGAAAAUUUGAGCAUUUGUUUUAAGAUGUUUGAUGUAAAUUUCUGUUAGAUUCAUUGUUGUGUAGAAUGUUUACAAGCCUUGCAAAUUUGAUUUUUUAAUAGAUACUGUUUCAGCAUUACUUACAACAAUAACCGAUAUCAUAAUUCAUCAUUACAAUACAAGAACUGUGAGCGUGAUCAUUAGACAGUUUACAGACCUGUAACAGAAUGAAGACAGCAUAAUAUGAGCUGUAAAAAUGAAGUCACCUGUAUAUUUUUGUUGAUUUAAAUUAUACUCAAGUCAAAGGUUUGUGUCUGUGAGUUCCAUAAAAGCAGUAUUUGGUAUCAGCAAUAUCAUAAAGGUUAUUAAUUAUCUUUUAAUUUCAAACUUUUCAAAACGAUGCUGGAUUUGUUUUCUCUGAUGUCCUAGGAGGUUGUGUGCCUCUCCUGUCUGUGUGGAUCACAAAAUAUUGUACAGGUUUCAUAUUACUCCAGUUAUGUGAAGCAGGAUAGACCUCUAUGCCAUUAAUAUUUCUACUUGUUUUGGGAAUGCACACACAUUUUACAUUUCUGGUCCUGUAUUGGCACAGAGAUUAGUAUUCUUACAGUUUUACUGAACUGCUAAAAUGAAUUUCCUAAACUCCCAUCUCCUUUUCUCAGAACACUGAACCCUAAAAUUCAAGCUACACUCACAAAACUCAUCUUGCAAAAUCAAACAAUCUUCUCAAAACUAUGUUAUCUUUGCUCAGAAGCAAACGCUGCUUUCAGAUCAUGCAUCAAACCAUUUAGUUAAGUAAACACUACUGAACAGUCAUUACACACUAAAGCAUAAAAUUAAAAACAGUCAAAACUCUUGCUGGCAUGUAGAGAAGUUGGAUGCUGUGGAUGUGGUCUUUUGCACAUUGAAUCCAUAUGAGAGGCACAUUACAGUAAAAUGUUUUGCAACUGCCAAGCCAAAGUCAAGGAAGAAUAUUCAUUCUGCAUGUCUCAGGGCUGGGUCUGGACAGAGAACUUUGUCUACAUCACAGGAAAUGCUCUCCCUUGCUGGGCGAUGCGGGAAGAAUCCUUUAUGUGACUCAUUUGUACCUUGACAUCAAAAUUCAUCCCAUCUAUGCCAUGUAUUCUAUGUUCUAGUCACUCUUUGGCUUCUUCUAAUAUUUAGAAACAUAUGUAAACAUAUGAGUUGAGUCAUUGUGUUUAAAUGAUGUCUACUGUGCUCCGGCUGUGCUUAAGUUUUGCAACCUGCGUGUUCUGUUUUGCAUCUAAGUUCUGCAUAGUUUUGAUGAAUGAGAAUGUGUUUAUAGUUUUGCAAAAAGGGUGACUCAGAUCUGCAAAUUGUGUCUAACGAGGUGAGCACUGUUUAAAGUUUCACAAAACUAGUGACUGAUUCAAUAAAGGAGUUUUGGCAAUUGGUA